GUGCGUUCGGAGGCAGCGGUGAGAACACGAGACACUGCUUCCUGAGUGCCUCCCGCAGAGUCAGCAGUUGCAAGAAAACCAGCAUUACCUUCUCAACAAUGAUUAAUUGGACAGCCAAAUGAUCUUUCUGGCAGGUCUCGGCGAAUUUUUCUCUGGAAGUCUCUAGUGUGUACAUUGAGGCUUUGUGGACCAUCAUGUUUACAACUCGAGCACAUGAAUAGCCAUAAACAUUACAUUAAAUAUGUGCGAAUAUUUGCCAAUAGAACUUUACUUACAAAUCAGGUCUCUGGCUUGUAUCGAGCCUAGCAGCCUCCCUAUAGACCCUUUGUGACCUCUCUACCAGUUUGGACACAUUUAUCCCUGCAAACCCUUCCAAUUUCUGCCAACUUCUGGC
rnacentral:lncRNA from 1 species